UACGAAGGGGGCUAGCGUUGCUCGGAAUCACUGGGCGUAAAGGGUGCGUAGGCGGGUUUUUAAGUCAGGGGUGAAAUCCUGGAGCUCAACUCCAGAACUGCCUUUGAUACUGAAGAUCUUGAGUGCGGGAGAGGUGAGUGGAACUGCGAGUGUAGAGGUGAAAUUCGUAGAUAUUCGCAAGAACACCGGUGGCGAAGGCGGGUCUCUGGGCCGAUACUGACGCUGAGGAGCGAAAGCGUGGGGAGCAAACAGG
rnacentral:rRNA from 1 species